CCCAGACUCCUACGGGAGGCAGCAGUGGGGGAUAUUGCACAAUGGGGGAAACCCUGAUGCAGCGACGCCGCGUGGGCGAAGAAGUAUUUCGGUAUGUAAAGCCCUAUCAGCGGGGAAGAAGAAAUGACGGUACCUGAGUAAGAAGCACCGGCUAAAUACGUGCCAGCAGCCGCGGUAAUACGUAUGGUGCAAGCGUUAUCCGGAUUUACUGGGUGUAAAGGGAGCGCAGGCGGCACGGCAAGCCAGAUGUGAAAGCCCGGGGCUCAACCCCGGGACUGCAUUUGGAACUGUAAGGCUAGAGUGCGGGAGAGGUAAGCGGAAUUCCUAGUGUAGCGGUGAAAUGCGUAGAUAUUAGGAAGAACACCAGUGGCGAAGGCGGCUUUCUGGACUGAAACUGACGCUGAGGCACGAAAGCGUGGGGAGCGAACAGGAUUAGAUACCCUCGUA
rnacentral:rRNA from 1 species